GUGGGGAAUUUUGGACAAUGGGCGCAAGCCUGAUCCAGCCAUGCCGCGUGAGUGAAGAAGGCCUUCGGGUUGUAAAGCUCUUUCGGCCGGGAAGAAAUCGGGCAGGUAAAUAAUCUGUCUGGAUGACGGUACCGGAAGAAGAAGCACCGGCUAACUACGUGCCAGCAGCCGCGGUAAUACGUAGGGUGCGAGCGUUAAUCGGAAUUACUGGGCGUAAAGCGUGCGCAGGCGGCUACAUAAGACAGCUGUGAAAGCCCCGGGCUUAACCUGGGAACUGCGGUUGUGACUGUGUGGCUAGAGUGUGGCAGAGGGGGGUGGAAUUCCACGUGUAGCAGUGAAAUGCGUAGAGAUGUGGAGGAACACCGAUGGCGAAGGCAGCCCCCUGGGUCGCCACUGACGCUCAUGCACGAAAGCGUGGGGAGCAAACAGGAUUAGAUACCCCUGUAGUCC
rnacentral:rRNA from 1 species